GGAUGGGUGGCCGAGCGGUUUAAGGCACCGGUCUUGAAAACCGGCGAAGGUGUAAGCUUUCCGUGGGUUCGAAUCCCACCCCAUCCGCCA
rnacentral:tRNA from 1 species